rnacentral:rRNA from 1 species
AGCUCCAAUAGCGUAUAUUAAAGUUGUUGCAGUUAAAAAGCUCGUAGUUGGACUUCAGGGCGGCACGGUCGGUCUCGCGCAAGCGUGUACUGACGCGUGCUCGCUCUUCCUGUUGUGCGUGGCGUCGACGGGCUUCACUGCUCGCGGCGUCGCUUAGCGCGCAGCACGUUUACUUUGAAGAAAUUAGAGUGUUCAAAGCAGGCCUACGCCUUGAAUACAUUAGCAUGGAAUAAUAAAAUAGGACUCUCGUCUAUUUUGUUGGUUUUUGAGAUGCGGGAGUAAUGAUUAAUAGGGACAGUUGGGGGCAUUCAUAUUCCGAUGUCAGAGGUGAAAUUCUUGGAUUUUCGGAAGAUGAACUACUGCGAAAGCAUUUGCCAAGGAUGUUUUCAUUAAUCAAGAA